AUCCUGUGGUGAGGACAUUUUCAUAAUAUCUCUUUGAAUCUUUCCCAUGACUCGUAUAGGGAUUCAUCAUCCAUUUGCUAAAAUGUAUUGAUCUAAUUCUACAGCUU
rfam:Gossypium arboreum cultivar AKA8401 contig_10913_3, whole genome shotgun sequence.